rnacentral:rRNA from 1 species
AAUUUUUGACAAUGGGCGCAAGCCUGAACCAGCCAUGCCGCAUGAGUGAAGAAGGCCUUCGGGUUGUAAAGCUCUGUCGGUCGGAAAGAAAUCGCCCGGGCUAAUAACCUGCGCGCAUGACGGUACCGUGAUAACAAGCACCCGCUAACUACGUGCCGUAAGCAGCGGUAAUACGUAGGGUGCGAGCGUUAAGCGGAAUUACUGGGCGUAAAGCGUGCGAAGGCGGUUGAUUAAGACAUGCGUGAACGCCCAGGGCUUAACCUGGGAACUGCGCUUGUGACUGGUCAGCUAGAGUACGGAAGAGGGGGGUGAAAUUCCACGUGUAGCAGUGAAAUGCGUAGAGAUGUGGAGGAACACCGAUGGCGAAGGCAGCCCCCUGGGACGAUACUGACGCUCAUGCACGAAAGCGUGGGUAGCAAACAGG